rnacentral:rRNA from 1 species
AUGCAACUUCCAUUCGCGAGGGGGGCUGUGUUUACACAUCAUAUCAUGGGUUUCAUGAAUCACCAUAUCCGGAGAUUCGUCCACACAGCUUGUUGCCAGAAUUACCGAUGCAAGUCGAAGAAGGAUUGGCCGGUGCUGCCGACUGGCGUCAAGUUCGAUCCCACGAAUCAGGAGCUGAUCGAGCACCUUGAGGCCAAAGUGAGUGCUGACAUUGCGAGAUUUCAGUCUCUCAUCGAUUUGUUCAUACCAACCAUCGACAGCGAGCACAGCAUAUGCUACACCCAACCUGAGAAACUUCCAGGUAUCACACUGAGUGGCCUAAGGAAGAAAUUCUUCCAGUGCAAUUCCAGGGUGUUCAAAAGGGGCACGUGGACGCGUCGCAAUAUACAGUCGGAGUGCCGCAUGCACGCGAUGUGGCACAAGACCGGCAAUACCUUGCCGGUGAUGGUCAACGGCCGGCAGACAGGCAGCAAAAAAGGUCGAGCAAGUUUCAACUGGGCUGCAGACUGCCCAGGGUCGCUUUUGUUUUUAAUAGGCCCAGCCCAUGACGACAACGGGGCACAAAGAUCUAGCAGGUUGAUCCUUGCUGAAUCUUUGCUCUUGCCCCCUUCUGUGGAAGGCUGGUAG